rnacentral:rRNA from 1 species
GACGAACGCUGGCGGCGUGCUUAACACAUGCAAGUCGAACGGAAAGGCCCUGCUUUUGUGGGGUGCUCGAGUGGCGAACGGGUGAGUAACACGUGAGUAACCUGCCCUUGACUUUGGGAUAACUUCAGGAAACUGGGGCUAAUACCGGAUAGGAGCUCCUGCUGCAUGGUGGGGGUUGGAAAGUUUCGGCGGUUGGGGAUGGACUCGCGGCUUAUCAGCUUGUUGGUGGGGUAGUGGCUUACCAAGGCUUUGACGGGUAGCCGGCCUGAGAGGGUGACCGGCCACAUUGGGACUGAGAUACGGCCCAGACUCCUACGGGAGGCAGCAGUGAGGGAAUAUUGCACAAUGGGCGGAAGCCUGAUGCAGCAACGCCGCGUGCGGGAUGACGGCCUUCGGGUUGUAAACCGCUUUCGCCUGUGACGAAGCGUGAGUGACGGUAAUGGGUAAAGAAGCACCGGCUAACUACGUG